UACGUAGGGGGCGAGCGUUUGUCCGGAAUUAUUGGGCGUAAAGAGCUCGUAGGCGGCUUGUUGCGUCGACCGUGAAAACCCGGGGCUCAACUUCGGGCUUGCGGUCGAUACGGGCGGGCUAGAGUUCGGUAGGGGAGACUGGAAUUCCUGGUGUAGCGGUGAAAUGCGCAGAUAUCAGGAGGAACACCGGUGGCGAAGGCGGGUCUCUGGGCCGAUACUGACGCUGAGGAGCGAAAGCGUGGGGAGCGAACAGG
rnacentral:rRNA from 1 species